rnacentral:rRNA from 1 species
GUAGGGUGCGAGCGUUAAUCGGAAUUACUGGGCGUAAAGCGUGCGCAGGCGGUUCGCCAAGUCAGGUGUGAAAUCCCCGGGCUUAACCUGGGAAUUGCGCUUGAAACUAGCGGGCUUGAGUGUGGCAGAGGGGGGUGGAAUUCCACGUGUAGCAGUGAAAUGCGUAGAGAUGUGGAGGAACACCGAUGGCGAAGGCAGCCCCCUGGGUCAACACUGACGCUCAUGCACGAAAGCGUGGGGAGCAAACAGGAUUAGAUACCCUGGUAGUCCACGCCGUAAACGAUGUCGAUUUGGAGGCUGUGUCCUUGAGACGUGGCUUCCGGAGCUAACGCGUUAAAUCGACCGCCUGGGGAGUACGGCCGCAAGGUUA